AUAAAAACACUGGCUGGCUUAUG
rnacentral:misc_RNA from 1 species